rnacentral:rRNA from 1 species
GGUGAACGCUGGCGGCGUGCCUAACACAUGCAAGUCGAGCGGUGCAGUUUGAAGCUUCGGUGGAAAGCUGCAUAGCGGCGGACGGGUGAGGAAAACGUAGGAACGUGCCCCUUGGAGUUGGAUAGCCACGGGAAACUGUGGGUAAACCGACAUAGACUCGAGAGAGUAAAGGCCGAAAGGCGCCAAGGGAGCGGCCUGCGGCCCAUCAGGUAGUUGGUAGUGUAAAGGACUACCAAGCCGACGACGGGUAGCCGGUCUGAGAGGAUGGCCGGCCACAAGGGCACUGAGAGACGGGCCCUACUCCUACGGGAGGCAGCAGUGGGGAAUCUUCCGCAAUGGACGAAAGUCUGACGGAGCAACGCCGCGUGAGUGAAGAAGGUUUUCGGAUCGUAAAGCUCUGUUGUUUGAGACGAAUGUGCAGACUUUGAAUAAGGGUUUGUAAUGACGGUAUUAAACGAGAAAGCCACGGCUAACUACGUG